CGGUGUUUAACUGGCGUGAUGUGGGACGUCCUACCGGUGGGCUUAGCCUCGCGAGGGGCGGCCCAACUAAUAUCCCGUCGCGGUGCUCUUUACUGAGUGUCGAGUCGGGCCGGUACGUUUACUUUGAACAAAUUAGAGUGCUUAAAGCAGGCUAUCCUCGCCUGAAUACUGCGUGCAUGGAAUAAUGGAAUAGGACCUCGGUUCUAUUUUGUUGGUUUUCGGAACCCCGAGGUAAUGAUUAAUAGGGACAGAUGGGGGCAUUCGUAUUGCGACGUUAGAGGUGAAAUUCUUGGAUCGUCGCAAGACGGACAGAAGCGAAAGCAUUUGCCAAAAAUGUUUUCAUUAAUCAAGAACGAAAGUUAGAGGUUCGAAGGCGAUCAGAUACCGCCCUAGUUCUAACCAUAAACGAUGCCAGCUAGCGAUCCGCCGAAGUUCCUCCGAUGACUCGGCGGGCAGCUUCCGGGAAACCAAAGCUUUUGGGUUCCAGGGGAAGUAUGGUUGCAAAGCUGAAACUUAAAGGAAUUGACGGAAGGGCACCACCAGGAGUGGAGCCUGCGGCUUAAUUUGACUCAACACGGGAAACCUCACCAGGCCCAGACACCGGAAGGAUUGACAGAUUGAUAGCUCUUUCUUGAUUCGGUGGGUGGUGGUGCAUGGCCGUUCUUAGUUGGUGGAGCGAUUUGUCUGGUUAAUUCCGAUAACGAACGAGACUCUAGCCUGCUAAAUAGGCGUACCUUAUGGUAUCGCGAAGGCCCCCGGCUUCGGCCGGUGGGUUUUUACUACCAACGUACAAACAAAUCUUUUUAGAGGGACAGGCGG
rnacentral:rRNA from 1 species